CGGUCGCUGCCCGGUUCGUCAGGCACAGAUAUCUCUGGGGCUAUUCCGAUCCCUCGGGAGCUGUCCCUGCCGGGUCCGUGGACCCGGUAUAUGGCGCCCACCUACACAAAUAGGCCACAAUGGGUUCUUACGCCAACGACCGGUGCGGGGCCGUC
rnacentral:other from 1 species